rnacentral:SRP_RNA from 1 species
GCCGGGUGUGGUGGCGGGCACCUGUAAUCCCAGCUACUUGGGAGGCUGAGGCAGGAGAAUCGCUUGAACCCAGGAGGUGGAGGUUGCAGUGAGCUGAGAUCAUGCCACUGCACUCUAGCCUGGGCGACAGAGCAAGACUUUGUCUCAG